rnacentral:rRNA from 1 species
AUUGAACGCUGGCGGCAGGCCUAACACAUGCAAGUCGAACGAGUGGAGGAGGGGUGAGUAAUGUCUGGGAAACUGCCUGAUGGAGGGGGAUAACUACUGGAAAAGGUAGCUAAUACCGCAUACCAUCGGAUGUGCACAGAUGGGAUGAGAUAGUAGGUGGGGUAAAGGCACACCUAGGAGACGCUCCCUAGAUGGUCUGAGAGGAUGACCAGCCACAAUGGAACUGAGACACGGUCCAUACUCCUACGGGAGGCAGCAGUGCGGAAUAUUGCACAAUGGGCGCAAGCCUGAUGCAGCCAUGCCGCGUGUAUGAAGAAGGCCUUCGGGUUGUAAAGUACUUUCAGCGUGGAGGCGUUACCCGCAGAAGAAGCACCGGCUAACUCCGUGCCAGCAGCCGCGGUAAUUC